AGAGUUUGAUCCUGGCUCAGGAUGAACGCUGGCGGCGUGCCUAAUACAUGCAGUCGAACGCUUUGUCUUUAAUUGAUCUGAAGAGCUUGCUCUGAUUUGAUUUUAUCUGACAAAGAGUGGCGAACGGGUGAGUCACACGUGGGUAACCUACCUCUUAGCAGGGGAUAACAUUUGGAAACAAGUGCUAAUACCGUAUAAUACCAACAACCGCAUGGUUGUUGGUUGAAAGAUGGUUCUGCUAUCACUAAGAGAUGGACCCGCGGUGCAUUAGCUAGUUGGUAAGGUAACGGCUUACCAAGGCAAUGAUGCAUAGCCGAGUUGAGAGACUGAUCGGCCACAAUGGGACUGAGACACGGCCCAUACUCCUACGGGAGGCAGCAGUAGGGAAUCUUCCACAAUGGGCGCAAGCCUGAUGGAGCAACGCCGCGUGUGUGAUGAAGGGUUUCGGCUCGUAAAACACUGUUAUAAGAGAAGAACGGCACUGAGAGUAACUGUUCAGUGUGUGACGGUAUCUUACCAGAAAGGAACGGCUAAAUACGUGCCAGCAGCCGCGGUAAUACGUAUGUUCCAAGCGUUAUCCGGAUUUAUUGGGCGUAAAGCGAGCGCAGACGGUUAUUUAAGUCUGAAGUGAAAGCCCUCAGCUCAACUGAGGAAUGGCUUUGGAAACUGGAUGACUUGAGUGCAGUAGAGGAAAGUGGAACUCCAUGUGUAGCGGUGAAAUGCGUAGAUAUAUGGAAGAACACCAGUGGCGAAGGCGGCUUUCUGGACUGUAACUGACGUUGAGGCUCGAAAGUGUGGGUAGCAAACAGGAUUAGAUACCCUGGUAGUCCACACCGUAAACGAUGAGUGCUAGAUGUUCGAGGGUUUCCGCCCUUGAGUGUCGCAGCU
rnacentral:rRNA from 1 species